rnacentral:rRNA from 1 species
GUUAGGAAUAUUGGACAAUGGGCGCAAGCCUGAUCCAGCCAUGCCGCGUGAACGAUGAAGGCCUUCGGGUUGUAAAGUUCUUUAGCCGAUGAUUAUAAUGACUGUAGUCGGAAAAUAAGCCCCGGCUAACUUCGUGCCAGCAGCCGCGGCAAUACGAAGGGGGCGAGCGUUAUUCGGAAUCACUGGGCGUAACGCGUGCGUAGGCGGUCUCGUAAGUUAGGAGUGAAAGCCCAGGGCUCAACCUUGGAAUUGCUCUUAAUACUGCAAGGCUAGAAUCUCGGAGAGGAUAGCGGAAUUUCCAGUGUAGCAGUGAAAUGCGUAGAUAUUGGAAGGAACACCAGUGGCGUAAGCGGCUAUCUGGACGAGUAUUGACGCUGAGGCACGAAAGCGUGGGGAUCAAACAGGAUUAGAUACCCUUGUAGUCC